AAGGCAGUUGGGUGAGAAUAUAGAAUAUCAUCUAUGAUUGCAACCCUCCCAGCGCAGCCGGGCUGGUGCCGCGUAUUCAAACCCGUGACACAGACGGAUGCUCGCCCUAAGGAACGCAAGUGAAGAUUUGUUCCAGAGAAACUUUUUCUGCUGCCAAAAAUUCCAGGGCAGGUUUUGAUGCCGAGUAAGUGAUGAGAAAAUUCUGGGAUUCAGAGCUUUUUGGAUUUCAGAAUCUGGAUAAGUGAGGUUUCUUCCGUGGGACAGGUGGUCUUUGCUUAUCGGUCUCCUGUGAUCGAUUGUUCUCCUGUCAUCCUGUCCUGGAGAACCUCAGGGGGAAGAGGAGGCUAUCCUGCUUUCCCUGACCUUCCCUGGGCCUUACUCUGCAUAAGGAUUAGCUACAGACACCUGCAAGGCAAAGGCUGCUUCUAAGGCACCUGCAUCCUAAUCCUAAAGAGAACCAUGGUGCACGAAUCACCUUCCUGCAGAGCCAGCCAGCGAGAGGUGUUCCGUCCUGCCCUUCCCUAACUGGUGCCUGACAGCACUUUCCCUGGCGAUGAGCUGACUUCCCCCACUCCUCCCCAGGUCCCCAGCCCUCUCCCUUCCCUUCUCUCCACCAAAAGGCCCAAAAGAUCAGCACUUGCCUAAAGGCCAAGGUUCCAUCACUUUUGCUUCUGUCGACUUUGGCAAACAAUCACACGGUGUCUCCUGGCUGCUCCGGUUUGCAUUUCUUUGGCAAUGAGUUGGCACUUUCUCUCCAGGUGGCCGGCUUUGUUCCCACUGAAGUUGGAUGCUCCUCCGGGGCUCAGGUGAUUGGACCUGGGGUUGGACCACCGUCAGAAAGAAUGGCAUCGAUUCCAUCGUUCCAAAAUGUAAACUGUCACUUUCAGUGAACCGCUUUCAACAUUCAACCAACGUAGCACUAACAAGUCUGAUUCGGCUUGCCGGCCUGCCUGUGGGUACACGUUUCCAGUACUUUAUCUCCAAGAGUUCUCCAGAAAGCCUCCGCGCUCAGAGCUCGGUGUUCUGCUUCUCUCAGCCCCAAGAGCU
rnacentral:lncRNA from 13 species